AGGACGUAGAAGUGGAAGAGCACAAAAGUACUCCCAGAACGCCUGCACCGCUUAUGACAAGCUCCACACCAGAGACUAUGGGACAUAUGUGAAUACAGCUCGAGGACAAGGCAACUCCAUCAGGGUCGGGAACGACGCCAAGUGGUCAAAUCACCUGGUACACCCUCGACCGCUUCAACCAAGAGGAGACGUCUUGGCUACAUGAGCGCAACCACACCGGUGAAGCAAAGUCAGAAAAAGACACCAGGCAGUGUGCGCAGGAAAAUUCUACAAGAUCAUUCACACGGCUCGAAAGCAACACCCGGUUCAAAAUUAAACACAGUCUACCAGCACCUGGGGAAAGUAAGGCGAAGACUUUAUGCCACCAAGCAAGUUAUUCGAAGGAGAGAGAAGAAAAUUCAAACUCUGAACCAGCUGAUCGAGGACAUGAAGGAAACGAAACUAAUAUCUCAAGAGGCCGAAAUACAGCUACAGUCAUUUGGUGAGCAGCCAGACGAAAUUCUAAAGGAGUGGAAUAAAAACUACAGGAGGGUGCCAUCUGGACGGCGUUACAGUGAGAACUUCAGGAAAUUUGCCACAACGCUUCACUAUUAUUCCCCACGUGCGUACAAGUACCUCUCAACAAAGUUCCCAAUGCCGACACCAGCUACCAUAAGAAACUGGCUGCAGGUUGUUGAUGCGUGGCCAUGAUUCACCAUUGAGUCUUUGCAACACCUGAAGGAAAAGUACAGCGGUGCCGCAGAGGAGGAACGGCUGUGUUCAAUAAUGCUGGACGGCAUGAGUAUUAGGAAGAAAUGCGAAUUUGAUCAAAAGUCAGGCCGACUGAUUGGGUACGUAAACUUUGGCCAACCCCAAACACCCGAAGACUCCGAUGACGUCUCAUUCGCAACGGAUUCCUUGGUAUUCAUGGCUGUUUGUGUCGUAGCCCGUAGGAAACAGCCCAUAGGAUAUUUUCUGAACAAUGGUUGCUCCGGAGAAGUCCUUCAAGGGAUCGUCACAGAUGCUGUUAAAGUCCUGGAAGAAUGCAACAUGCAUGUAGUCGCAGUUGUGUGCAAUGGCUUGUCGUCAGAACACUACAACCAUUCACAAAUGCGUGAAGCACAAACAUAUUUGCUUUCACUACGGUCGUAACUUCAAAGGUGCUUGGCUUGGAUAACAUUGGCUAUUUUCGGGAAAUAGCUCGUUUUGCGCACAAUAUACCCAGAUUGCUCUUGCUUUGCGAUAAAUUUGGGGGACGGAUUUCUCCAUGCUGGCAACAGAGUUCCACAUAAGGGCGGCUUCCGUCGUUUGACGCGGGGAAUAGGCUGAAAUGCAUGGGAAUAUGGCGGCUUUGACCCAUCUGCCGCCAUCUUUCCAACCCGGAACCGGCAGUGCGAGUAGCAAGAAGGCAAAGUGAAAGCAA